AUUUUCCAAAUAAUGAGCCGAGUAGUCCCCGUACUAAUUUUUGGCCAGUACUACCACCUAAGCUGCGAGCGGCACUUUUUGCAAAAGUUCCGACAAUAUCUUGAGUAAGUUUAGCUCUUUCACGCGCCGCACGUUCCUCUUCUUUUUGCUGUUCACGUGCUAGACGCUCUUGUUCUUUGGCUUGUUGUUUCGCUAAGGUUUCCUGCUCUUUCGCUUGCUGUUUUGCGAGUUCUGCAUCUUGUUUUUGCUGUUCCCGUUCAGCCACUUUGUUUUGGAGCAUUUCAUAGGCACUAUCACGAUCUACAGCUUGUUCAUAAACCCCGGCAAUAAUACUUUGCGAAAUUAAGGUCUGACGCUCUUCUGGAGUGAUAGGCGUAAAUGAAGAGUAAGGAGGCAUAACCCAACCACGUUCUACAAUUUGAGGUGUACCUUGUUCAUCUAGACAACUAAUCAGUGCUUCACCUACACCGAGCUCGGUAAUUGCUUCAUCUACUUUAAAAUCGGGAUUAGAGCGGAAUGUGUCUGCUGCUGUUUUUACUGCUUUUUGAUCUUUAGGAGUAAAGGCACGUAAAGCGUGUUGUACACGGUUGCCGAGUUGCCCUAAAACACUUUCUGGUAAGUCGAGCGGGUUUUGGGUAAUAAAAUAAAUUCCCACACCUUUAGAACGAAUUAAACGUACAACUUGUUCAAUUUUUUCUUGUAAAGCUUGACUGGCGUUGUCGAAUAACAGGUGAGCUUCAUCAAAGAAAAACACGAGUUUAGGUUUAUCCAUAUCACCAACUUCUGGAAGCUGUUCAAAUAAUUCUGAAAGCAUCCAUAACAGGAAAGUAGCAUAUAGCUUAGGUGUAUUCAUGAGCUUGUCAGCCGCAAGAAUAUUGAUAUAACCAUGCCCAUUUGCGUCGGUUUGUAUAAAGUCCAGAAUAUUUAAAGCUGGCUCUCCAAAAAACUGCUCUCCACCUUGGUCGGCAAGAGCAAGAAGAUUGCGUUGAAUAGCGCCUAAGCUGGCUGGAGAUAAGUUGCCAUAUUCGGCUUUAAACUCAGCUGCAUGUUCACUUACAAAAGUGAUCAUGGCUUUUAAAUCUUUAAAGUCGACCAGAAGUAACCCUUGGUCGUCUGCGAUACGGAAUACGGCAGAUAAAACACCUUCUUGGGUGUCAUUUAAGUUGAGUAUACGUGCUAAUAAAAUUGGCCCAAUUUCAGAAAUAGUGGUUCGAAUAGGGUGGCCUUGCUGGCCAAAUAAAUCCCAGAAAACAACUGGAUUGGCUGCAAAUGGAACACUGUCGAUCUGUAAAAGCUUUAAGCGUUCAUUAAAUUUAUCCGAAGCUUCACCAGCUUUUGCGAGACUCGAAACAUCACCUUUUGCGUCGGCAAGAAAGACGGGAACGCCGAUUCGAGAAAAACUCUCUGCGAGCACCUUUAGGGUGACUGUUUUACCUGUACCGGUCGCACCUGCAAUCAGGCCGUGCCGGUUGGCAAAUUGGGAAAGUAAAACAAUUUCUUUUGAUGUGUCGUUAAUAU
rnacentral:rRNA from 1 species